AGUGAACGCUGGCGGUAGGCCUAACACAUGCAAGUCGAACGGCAGCACAGUAAGAGCUUGCUCUUACGGGUGGCGAGUGGCGGACGGGUGAGGAAUACAUCGGAAUCUACUUUUUCGUGGGGGAUAACGUAGGGAAACUUACGCUAAUACCGCAUACGACCUACGGGUGAAAGCAUGGGAUCUUCGGACCUUGCGCGAUUGAAUGAGCCGAUGUCGGAUUAGCUAGUUGGCGGGGUAAAGGCCCACCAAGGCGACGAUCCGUAGCUGGUCUGAGAGGAUGAUCAGCCACACUGGAACUGAGACACGGUCCAGACUCCUACGGGAGGCAGCAGUGGGGAAUAUUGGACAAAGGGCGAAAGCCUGAUCCAGCCAUACCGCGUGGGUGAAGAAGGCCUUCGGGUUGUAAAGCCCUUUUGUUUGGAAAGAAAAGCAGCAGGUUAAUACCCCGCUGUUCUGACGGUACCCAAAGAAUAAGCACCGGCUAACUUCGUG
rnacentral:rRNA from 1 species